CGGAGGAUCCAAGCGUUAUCCGGAAUCAUUGGGUUUAAAGGGUCCGUAGGCGGUUUAGUAAGUCAGUGGUGAAAGCCCAUCGCUCAACGGUGGAACGGCCAUUGAUACUGCUAGACUUGAAUUAUUAGGAAGUAACUAGAAUAUGUAGUGUAGCGGUGAAAUGCUUAGAGAUUACAUGGAAUACCAAUUGCGAAGGCAGGUUACUACUAAUGGAUUGACGCUGAUGGACGAAAGCGUGGGUAGCGAACAGGAUUAGAUACCCUGGUAGUCCACGCCGUAAACGAUGGAUACUAGCUGUUGGGCGCAAGUUCAGUGGCUAAGCGAAAGUGAUAAGUAUCCCACCUGGGGAGUACGUUCGCAAGAAUG
rnacentral:rRNA from 1 species